AUUGAACGCUGGCGGCAUGCUUUACACAUGCAAGUCGAACGGCAGCGCGGGGGCAACCCUGGCGGCGAGUGGCGAACGGGUGAGUAAUGCAUCGGAACGUAUCCUGUAAUGGGGGAUAACGUAGCGAAAGUUACGCUAAUACCGCAUACGCUCGAGAGAGGAAAGUGGGGGAUCGCAAGACCUCACGUUAUAGGAGCGGCCGAUGUCCGAUUAGCUAGUUGGUGGGGUAAAGGCCUACCAAGGCGACGAUCGGUAGCUGGUCUGAGAGGAUGAUCAGCCACACUGGGACUGAGACACGGCCCAGACUCCUACGGGAGGCAGCAGUGGGGAAUUUUGGACAAUGGGCGAAAGCCUGAUCCAGCCAUGCCGCGUGCGGGAAGAAGGCCUCGGUGUAACGCUUAGUCGAAA
rnacentral:rRNA from 1 species